GGAGAGAUGUCAGAGUGGCCGAAUGAGCACGCUUGGAAAGUGUGUGUACCUUACGGUACCGUGGGUUCGAAUCCCACUCUCUCCGCCA
rnacentral:tRNA from 2 species